GUUUGCUAGCGGCUACAAUUUCAAUACUAUUGGAGAUCUUUGCUCCUUCUGGACUCUGUGGUAAUAUUCUUUUCACAAAAUACAACCAAUAGUACGUUAAUGUUAAAUCUUACUUGUGAAAAGUAAUCCCCCAAUUCCUAUUUUCAACAGACCGCUCAUUUGAGCAGGAAAACGCUGGACACCAGCCCGGCAUCUUUGUUUUCUACCUGUCAACUGACAGUUGACAGGUAGAAAAAGAGGAGUCGGCAAGCAGCUGGCUCCUCAUCACCACUUCAAGAUGGCGGCCGAAUUUCUCGCGUCACAGCAGCCAAUGCUGCGUCUACUUAUAAGAUGUCUAUGCAUGUGUCGUUUGAAAUUUGAGUCGUUUGGAAAUCUUCUAAACUGACUCCGCCAUGGAUGAAGAUGGAAGUGCUUUUUAGAACAUGGAUCCUACAAGAGUUGCAGUGUUGAAAGCUGCUAAUAUUAGCAGGGAAAUGCUUUGAUCCCGGAAAGAUCAUCCCAAUCUGGAGGCAGUCUUCCAGAGGCUGAACAGGGCCUGAAAGUACUGACAGCCUACAGAACCAGGCCAGACACUACACAGUUCUACAGGAGCUAUACAAAUCCAGGCCCAGACCUAACAAGAAGGAUGUUGCCCAGCUGUUGGACCUUGAAUACCAAGCAAGCCGGGUUUACAUCGACUUUGAUGUUUUGAAGGAGAAAGACAAAUCUACCGAGAUUCUUCAAAAAAAGUGUACAUGUAAGAAAAUCAAUCAAUCAAUGUUUAUUUAUACAGCCCUAAAUCACAAGUGUCUCAAAGGGCUGCACAAGCCACAACGACAUCCUCGGUACAGAGCCCACAUACGGGCAAGGAAAAACUCACCCCAGUGGGACGUCGAUGUGAAUGACUAUGAGAAACCUUGGAGAGGACCGCAUAUGUGGGUAACCCCCCCCCCCCUUCCAGGGGAGACCGAAAGCAAUCGAUGUCGAGUGGGUCUGACAUAAUAUUGUAAAAGUCCAGUCCACAGUGGAUCCAACACAUCAGCGAGAGUCCAGUCCAUAGUGGGGUCAGCAGGAGACCAUCCCGAGCGGAGACGGGUCAGCAGCGCAGAGAUGUCCCCAACCGAUGCACAGGCGAGCGGUCCACCCGGGGUCCCGACUCUGGACAGCCAGCACUUCAUCCAUGGCCACCGGAACUGUGCAACUGCCCCUCCACAAGGGAGAGGGGAGCAGAGGACAGAAGAAAAGAAAAGAAAUCAAAUACAUUUAAGUUGAUUUAUGUUUAAUAUGAUUCUUGGCGUAAUUCCCUUAAUUAGUUUACAAAUUAUAGAUUGUUAGCCAUUUUUACAUUUUUAAUAUGAAGGACACAGAUGUUGGUGAGGUUUGUUUUUUUUUUUGCAAAAAAUGUUUAGUAAGUCACUCAGCAGGUUACUCUGCAAUUUCUACAUGCAAAGUUUGUAGGUCAAAAACAUUUUUCAAUUCACUAGAUUUUGAUUAGAAUGUAGAUUUUAAAAUAUAUUUGCUAUGUGUCCCUCUAUGGUAGGCUCAAUCAAUCAAUCAAUCAAUGUUUAUUUAUAUAGCCCUAAAUCACAAGUGUCUCAAAGGGCUGCACAAGCCACAAUGACAUCCUCGGUUCAGAGCCCACAUAAGGGCAAGGAAAAACUCACAACCCAGUGGGAUGUCAAUAUGAAUGACUAUGAGAAACCUUGGAGAGGACCGCAGAUGUGGGUGACCCCCCCCCCCCCCCCUUCCCCCUAUAGGGGAGACCGAAAGCAAUGGAUGUCGAGUGGGUCUGACAUAAUAUUGUAAAAGUCCAGUCCAUAGUGGGGCCAGCAGGAGACCAUCCCGAGCGAAGACGGGUCAGCAGCGCAGAAAUGUCCCCAACCGAUGCACAGGCGAGCGGUCCACCCGGACUCUGGACAGCCAGCACUUCAUCCAUGGCCACCGGACCUGUGCCCCCACUUCCACAAGGGAGAGGGGGGAAGAAAAGAAAAGAAACGGCAGAUCAACUGGUCUAAAAAGGGGGUCUAUUUAAAGGCUAGAUUAUACAAAUGAGUUUUAAGAUGGGACUUAAAUGCUUCUACUGAGGUAGCAUCUCUAACUGUUACCGGGAGGGCAUUCCAGAGUACUGGAGCCCGAAUAGAAAACGCUCUAUAGCCCGCAGACCUUUUUUGGGCUCUGGGAAUCACUAAUAAGCCGGAGUGCCUUGAACGCAGAUUUCUUGCCGGGACAUAUGGUCCAAUACAAUCGGCAAGAUGGGAUGGAGCUAGACCGUGUAGUAUUUCAUACGUAAGUAGUAGGAUGAACUAUAGAGGAUGCUCAGUCAAGGAAAUUCCCACUUCAUACCUGGACUGAAGAACCGCUUAAGGGCAUUUUGUGAGAAGAUUCAGUUUUAUGGAGUUUUCAAAAAAAAGUGAGGAGACCUCCACUGGCAGAUAAAGGUAAUUACUCCCACAUCACUUGAUGACUUGAAUCCAUAGGCUGGCCACAGCAGUCAGUGAUGCUGGUGCUGCUCAGUUUCAGACAUCCACCAAGUAUUUACCAUUUACUUGUCAACCAUCCUAAUCACCCCAUAGUACUUUUUUCUUUUUCCCCAACUGCAGCUUACUGCUUCUUGCAGUCUCUCCCAACUGCACUCACAAAUGUUUCUUUUCUUGUUGCUCUGUCUUUCUCUCUGUUUUUAUGUUGUUUUUUGAAUAAAUUACUGCAGUAAUUAAAAUGAUUGUUUUGUUUUACAGUAAAGCAAAGCGGUUGCGAUGAUAAAGGCUUUGCCAGACAUGCAUGCAAGUAAGGCCAUGCUUCACAUCUUUGAGGUAAAAAAUGUUGUAUGACAUUUUAUCCUGUACUUUACGGCAGGGCUAUUCAACUGUGUUGUUAGGAGGGCACAUUUUUAGACAGCCAAGUGAGAAAAAGCGAGCACAUUAAAAUAUUAUUUGCAAUAUUAUUAAGAUUAAAGAUUAAAGUACCAAUGAUUGUCACACACACACUAGAUGUGGUGAAAUUUGUCCUCUGCAUUUGACCCAUCCCCUUGGGGAGCAGUGGGCAGCAGCGGCGCCGCGCCCGGGAAUCAUUUUGGUGAUUUAACCCCCAACUCCAACCCUUGCUGCUGAGUGCCAAGCAGGGAGGAAACGGGUCCCAUUUUUAUAGUCUUUGGUAUGACUCGGCCGGGAUUUGAACUCCAACCUACCGAUCUCAGGGCGAACACUCUAACCACUCUGUGGGAGUUAUUCACAAUUAUCUGACAAAAGUCACAAUUUUGCUAGGAAAAAAAAAAACGCAGCAAAAUCUUCAAAGAAAUAUUGCUUUAAAAAAUGAAAAAAUACUUUAUUUUGAUAAACUAUUUUUUAAGACUGUUGAAAUAUUAUGAAAUACGUAUAUUAUGUAUCAAAAAGUUUUAAUUUUACAAGAAAACAUAAUAUUCUAGAAUGGAAAAAAAUGAAAAUACUUUUUAACUUUUUAUUUAAAAAAAUCUAAUUUAACGAGAAAUAUAUAUAUAUAUAUUUUUUUUUAAUUGGGUUGAUUUUUUUCUUGCCCUGAUGUGGGAUCUGAGCCAAGGAUGUUGUGCUUUGUGCAGCCCUUUGAGACAUUUGUGAUUAAGGGCUAUAUAAAUACACUUUGAUUGAUUUAUUGAUUGUUUUUGCACAGUCUUUCAGCAUUUCGAUGAUGGCCAAAUAUUGUAAUUUUUUUUUCUGUU